AAAUUUCUUCAUCAAACUCAAAUUGAAAUAGGAGACUUCUGCCGCCCUUAGCCAACCGGGUCCGUAUAGGAGAACAAUUGUGACAACAAUCCCACAUCGAAAAUAUGUUCUCGGCAGCUGCUUUACCAACUCUAUAUAAACCCCAUGCUCCUAUUUAUUGAGCAUCAAUUUAUAGUAUUUGCAAGCCAUAUUUAAUCUAGUUUUGCGGACUUCUUUGCAAGCCACAUUUUGCGAAGGUAACUUCUUCUUCUUUUGUGCUUUCUUCUUAGUUGUCUAUUUUUUUCCUUUUUUUGAAGGUCAAACAAAAAGGAGUGUUCUUGUUUAACGAGAAGAUCCAUACAUGAAGAAGACAAUCUUGGGUGUAAGGGGAUGGGUACUCAUCCUUACCCGAAUAUCGGAGAGAUUACUCUUAUGGCCCAACUAUCAGAGAGAUUAAUCUCAAUGUGGCUCGACUACCGGAGAGAUUACUCUCAAUGUGGCCCGACUAUCGGAGAGAUUACUCUCAAUGUGGCUCGACUACUGGAGAGAUUACUCUUAAAAUGACCCGACUAUCGAAUAGAUUACUCUCAAUGUGCUCUGACUAUCAGAGAGAUUACUCUCAAUAAAAAUUGUAGUUCCUUUAAGUACAAACCACGAAGAGUCCAACUUAAGGUAAAAAGGGACUUACAUGUCCACCUGAUUGGAAAGUUAUAAAACUUCAACUCGAAGACGACAUUGACUUGACGACACUUGGAAUUUGGCUGACUUUGCAGACUUCAACUCGAAGAGUGGUUGACUUUUAAAAUUCAACUUGAAAAAUUAGCAGGCUUGAAGACUUUAACUUGAACAUUUGGAGGGCUUAAACAAUUCAACUUUAAGACCGGCGAAUUUGAAGAUUGAAACUUUAAGAACGACGGACUUGGAGACUUCAACUUGGUGACUUGGAGGGUUUAAAUAUUUUAACUUUAAGACUGGCGAAUUUGAAGACUGAAACUUGAAGACCAAAGGACUUGAAGACUUCAACUUGGAGACUUGGAGGGCUUAAAUAUUUCAACUUGAAAAUUGGCGAACGUGAAAGCCUCAACUUGAAGACCGACGGACUUGACGAUUUCAACUUAGAAACUUCAACUUGAAGACCGACGGACUUGAAGACUUCGAGGGCUUAAAUAUUUCAGCUUCUCUUUUGCUUUACAUUGUCCAACUUUUAUCUUAGUCGCAUAAGUUUCAGCUUUACGCGCUUGUAACAAAAGAUUCAUAUCUUAUCGUGAGAGAGUCCAAAUAACGAACUGUUUGAUUUCUCAAAAAUUAUACUUCAAUAUAUAAAAUAUAUCCAAAACUUAGAAUCAAAGACCUUCAGAAUUGACCCAGAUAAUAUUUUGAAUUCAACUU
rnacentral:lncRNA from 1 species